UACAGAGGGGGCAAGCGUUGUUCGGAAUUACUGGGCGUAAAGGGCGCGUAGGCGGCCUUCUAAGUCGAACGUGAAAUCCCUGGGCUCAACCCAGGAACUGCGUCCGAUACUGGGAGGCUUGAAUCCGGGAGAGGGAUGUGGAAUUCCACGUGUAGCAGUGAAAUGCGUAGAUAUGUGGAGGAAUACCGAUGGCGAAGGCAGCCCCCUGGGAUAACACUGACGCUCAUGCACGAAAGCGUGGGGAGCAAACAGG
rnacentral:rRNA from 1 species